AUGAACGCUGGCGGCGUGCCUAAUACAUGCAAGUCGAGCGAACAGAUGAGGAGCUUGCUCCUCUGACGUUAGCGGCGGACGGGUGAGUAACACGUGGAUAACCUACCUAUAAGACUGGGAUAACUUCGGGAAACCGGAGCUAAUACCGGAUAAUAUAUUGAACCGCAUGGUUCAAUAGUGAAAGACGGUUUUGCUGUCACUUAUAGAUGGAUCCGCGCCGCAUUAGCUAGUUGGUAAGGUAACGGCUUACCAAGGCAACGAUGCGUAACCGACCUGAGAGGGUGAUCGGCCACACUGGAACUGAGACACGGUCCAGACUCCUACGGGAGGCAGCAGUAGGGAAUCUUCCGCAAUGGGCGAAAGCCUGACGGAGCAACGCCGCGUGAGUGAUGAAGGUCUUCGGAUCGUAAAACUCUGUUAUUAGGGAAGAACAAAUGUGUAAGUAACUAUGCACGUCUUGACGGUACCUAAUCAGAAAGCCACGGCUAACUACGUG
rnacentral:rRNA from 1 species